rnacentral:lncRNA from 1 species
CUGUCACUCACCAGCUCUGUGUUCUGGGAAAUGACUUCACCUCCCUCAGCUACAGAUCCUUAAUGAGUAAAAUGAGGAGAAUGAGAGCUACUAUUUUACAAGACUUUAAUUAGGGAACCAAUGAGACAAUUUACAUAAAGCACUUGGAAAAAACUCCAAACAUGAGAUAAUUAUUAACUCUUAUUAUUGCUCUGUCCUGACCAUAGCAUAUCUACAGUACUGAAGUCAGAGCUGAGAGGCCCUUUGAGAAGGGCAAUUGACAGUAUCCAGAGCCAAUCAGCGAGGAGGAAGAAGAGCCUGGAGUCCAUGCCUUAUUGUUUUUCAUGUGAACAAACCAAACAAGGAUCCCUACAAGAAAUUACAAAUUUAUUCUCUGAGAGACAAGGACAGUUUCUUCAUGAGAACCAAAGCAGAGAAGACUUAAAAAAAAAGACAACCAUAUGGGAAGGACUUUCAGGAACAAUGGGAACCAGAUAUACCUU